AAUUUAAUUGCGCACGCUUUGACCGUUGGGAUUUGCGAGAUGAUGUUCUUGGAGAGAGAAAAAGGAAUCGCAUGAAGAUAGUCCAAAUGGAGGCUUGAAUCCCUUUUACGUUUCUGUGACGUUUGGGAACUCUAUCGGAGCAGUCGGAGGAGAAACUGGAAGAAUCUUAGGGAACCACUCGAGAUGCUGUUAUCGCUGUCAGAAGACACGUGAGUCCGCUUAGAGAUGAAUAGGUGGAUGACUAUGAAGAACCUCAUGCUAGAGGACACGGGAACACCAUGCUCUGAUAGGAUGUGACAUUAGGAUAUAGGUUCUAUAUUAAUUGUAUGAGACUUAUAUGACUUUCUUUGAGUCGAGACGACUUUAUUAUUUAGUUGGACGAGUUUGAAUAUGAUGUAGAAGAAAGUGAAUGUGAGCCUUUUUACCCAUUUGAAAA